AUACCAACUUGAUACCAACCUACUUGGCGGGGUGGUGAAUUCAUGAAGUGCGAAUGCGAAACAUGGCAAUAGAUGGCGGAACAAACAGCAUGGGGAACGCUGGGACACGCAUUGAGGAAUGAAAUCCGUCACUUCCCAGAUUUCGAACGCAUCCUUAGAGUGCAUUACUUUUAUGUGCUUGCGUUCGGUCUUGGGAUUUCUCAGCAGAUGUCGCCAACAGUAGAGAGAUUGAUCUAGAAUGUCUCGUUAUCGGAAAAGUAUGGUAGCCAUACACCAAAUGGUUUUUGCGUUUAGCUACCAUAUUACUUCCGAUAUGACUGUUGACAUCACUGCCGAUAUGACGGAGCAGUGCAUUGGCAAUAUGCCAAGGGCAGUAACAUGCCGUCAGUCACGUCAGUCAUCGGUCUUGGCUAUCUGUAAGAAUCUUGGCAGGAAUCUUGGCCUUUUCUUGGACCCAUAGCCUCGGCCUUCGACCAAUCAUAUCGCCGAAUUCGCAAGCGGUGAGAGACAAAUACGGCGUGCCAAAGACAUAUUGGGUGUCUCAAAAUCACUGAGAACUCUGUAGCUCAAAACUUAAGCCCUGCACUCUUUUAGAUCUACCCCGUUGAGUGGCAUUCUUGUGAAAAUUAUGUAAAGAUAUUUAUCAGAAUAAGGUAGAAGUGUAGGGGGUGGCAGGUGAGGUGCAGAAGAAGAAGAAGAAGUUGUACCUAUCCAGUAAUUUUAUCUUGAUUUGUGGACUAGACGAAGACUAGAUUUUGAUGAAGAAAUCGACAAACUUGAACUGCAGGACUCGUGGCGCUGCUCGCCUCCUCGCCAAUGCGAAUGCGUUCUCUGAGGACAACCCGCCCAAGGCUACCAUGGCGAAGCCACGCCACCGCGCCGGCUAUAGACUCACGGCCUGAAGCGAGUUUGGGCGCGACGGCUGGCGAGCCAAGGCGGCGGAAAGUCGUCUGGCGGAGCUCCCGUCUGAGGCGAGCUUGAUCUGGUCAGACAGCUCCGCCACCGAUGGUGUGCUAGAUGGAGGAGGAGGGGCCACCCCCCCCCCCCCCCCGAACCGCGACAUCCGAGAGGUGCGUGUCGCGGCAGGCGCCCUCUGCUCUAGCACGCGCGGCGAGCUAUUCGCCCUAAGAGCGGUGUUGGAGGAGCUGGCCGGACGGAUGGUACCGGUCGAUAUGGGUCGACCGCCGUCUAUCCGGUCCAUUCUGCUGUUCCAGCUCCAGGACCGGCCGCGCCGUCGCCACCCGUCCGGCGUCAGUGGAGGACCGCUCAUCAGCUGUCGAUUUUCAUCAGUUUCGCUUGGACCACUGGUCGGGCUCCUGCCAGUGCCGACAUUGGGUUGGGCGGAGUCCUACCGAUGAAUGCCGCGAGUGCUGCAACAUUGGCUCGGUACAUCUCGGUACAUUUUCCCGAGUCUGGUGUGGCUACGGGGAGACGGAUUUGGUGACCCUGGCUGCCGCCGUGAGAACCAUCCAGAACCGUACGGCUAUGCUGCGGCAGCAGCUGAAAGGAACGCAACAACAAUAACUACAACAGCAGCUGCUAAUGAAAGGGGAAAUCAUGGAGCCGGAUGACCCGGCACAUGGCGCUCAGCCAGCUGAGAAUGAGAGCAGCUAUCAAAUCGCCAGCAGGGUGCUGCGGCUGGUAACUAACGACCUUAACAGAGAGAGCGCCUCCGCUGAUGCGGAUGAAACUACCCCCUCUCGGGUUUGUUUGACGCCGUCUCCGUCGACUCUUUCGCCUGGGCCGGCUGGCGACCGCGACAUUUCUUGUGCAGUGACUCGUAACUAUGUUCACCAAACUUUUAAAACUCCUCACGUUAGCAUCUUUAAAGAAUGUUUCCCUUGUACACUGCUGCAAUGUCUUAUGUAGGCAUAUUGUAGGUACAGUCUAAACGAGUGUGGAAUGCUUUGUUGUGCUUGCUUGUUCUGUAUUUCGUUUGCUAUUUAUCACGGUGACUAUAAUUUAUUUUGACCAACCCUUGCCUUGUUGCAAUUUUAGUGGAUGGUUUCUGAACUGCUGUUUGCAUUAUAGAUGUUGCUAGUGCGUAGACGCCAAAGAUUACUUUAUACCUAUUGACGCGCCAGAUAAAGGAGGUGAAGUAUUCCUCUGAUCUCUACCUACGAAAUUCCUUUAUGUGUGUUUUGUAAUCGAUAUUGGCGGUUUUCUUAUGUGAUGCGGUGUAGAGCGUGGCUGAGGAAGGCGAUGUUUAAAGUUGCUAGUUAUUUUUCAAUACAUCUAUGAUCGGAC
rnacentral:lncRNA from 1 species